UGCAAUGUCACUCAAGUUGAUUCUAUA
rnacentral:sRNA from 1 species